GAUGAACGCUGGCGGCGUGCUUAACACAUGCAAGUCGAACGAAGCACCUUGAUUCGAUUCUUCGGAUGAAGAUCUUGGUGACUGAGUGGCGGACGGGUGAGUAACGCGUGGGUAACCUGCCUCAUACAGGGGGAUAACAGUUAGAAAUGACUGCUAAUACCGCAUAAGACCACAGCACCGCAUGGUGCAGGGGUAAAAACUCCGGUGGUAUGAGAUGGACCCGCGUCUGAUUAGGUAGUUGGUGGGGUAACGGCCUACCAAGCCGACGAUCAGUAGCCGACCUGAGAGGGUGACCGGCCACAUUGGGACUGAGACACGGCCCAAACUCCUACGGGAGGCAGCAGUGGGGAAUAUUGCACAAUGGGGGAAACCCUGAUGCAGCGACGCCGCGUGAGCGAUGAAGUAUUUCGGUAUGUAAAGCUCUAUCAGCAGGGAAGAAAAUGACGGUACAUGACUAAGAAGCACCGGCUAAAUACGUG
rnacentral:rRNA from 1 species